rnacentral:rRNA from 1 species
UACGUAGGGGGCUAGCGUUGUCCGGAUUUAUUGGGCGUAAAGAGCGUGUAGGCGGCCGUACAGGUCAGCUGUGAAAACUCGAGGCUCAACCUCGAGACGUCGGUUGAAACCGUACGGCUAGAGUCCGGAAGAGGAGAGUGGAAUUCCCGGUGUAGCGGUGAAAUGCGCAGAUAUCGGGAAGAACACCCGUGGCGAAGGCGGCUCUCUAGGACGGUACUGACGCUGAGACGCGAAAGCGUGGGGAGCGAACAGG